AGAGUUUGAUCAUGGCUCAGAACGAACGCUGGCGGCAGGCCUAACACAUGCAAGUCGAGCGCCCUCGCAAGAGGGAGCGGCGGACGGGUGAGUAACGCGUGGGAAUUUUCCUCAAGGUACGGAACAACUCAGGGAAACUUGGGCUAAUACCGUAUGAUGUCUAGCGACCAAAGAUUUAUCGCCUUGGGAUAAGCCCGCGUCAGAUUAGGUAGUUGGUGGGGUAACGGCCUACCAAGCCUGCGAUCUGUAGCUGGUCUGAGAGGACGAUCAGCCACACUGGGACUGAGACACGGCCCAGACUCCUACGGGAGGCAGCAGUGGGGAAUCUUGCGCAAUGGGCGAAAGCCUGACGCAGCCAUGCCGCGUGAAUGAUGAAGGUCUUAGGAUUGUAAAGUUCUUUCGCUCGUGACGAUGAUGACGGUAACGAGAGAAGAGCC
rnacentral:rRNA from 1 species